ensembl:snRNA U1 U1 spliceosomal RNA
AUACUUACCUGGCAGGGGAGAUACCAUGAUCACGAAGGUGGUUUUCAGGGCGAGGCUCACCCAUUGUACUCUGUGUGUCCUGACCCCUGUGGUUUCCCCAAUGUGGCAAACUCGAUCACAUAAUUUGUGGUAGUGGGGGACUGCGUUUGCACUCUCCCCUG